GACGAAAGUCUGAUGGAGCAAUACCAUGUGAACGAUGAAGGCCUUUUUGGUUGUAAAGUUCUUUUACGAGGGAUAAUUAUGAUAGUACUUCGUGAAUAAGUGACAGCAAACUAUGUGCCAGCAGCUGCGGUAAUACAUAGGUCGCAAGCAUUAUUCGGAUUUAUUGGGCGUAAAGCAAGCGCAGGCGGAUGUGUAAGUUCUGUGUUAAAUGCAGCUACUCAAUAGUUGUAUGCACCGAAUACUACAUGUCUAGAUUGUGGUAGGGAGUUUCGGAAUUAAGCAUGGAGCGGUGGAAUGUGUAGAUAUGCUUAAGAACACCAGAGGCGAAGGCGGAAACUUAGGCCAUAAAUGACGCUUAGGCUUGAAAGUGUGGGGAGCAAAUGGGAUUAGAUACCCCAGUAGUCCACACCGUAAACGAUGGGUAUUAGAUAUUAGGGCUUUAGCUUUAGUGUUGUAGCUUACGCGUUAAAUACCCCGCCUGGGUAGUACAUAUGCAAAUAUGAAACUCAAAGGAAUUGACGGGGACCUGAACAAGUGGUGGAGCAUGUUGCUUAAUUCGAUAAUACACGAAAAACCUUACCAAGGUUUGACAUCCCUCGCAAAGCUAUAGAAAUAUAGUAGAGGUUAUCGAGGUGACAGG
rnacentral:rRNA from 1 species